UGUUCAGCCUGUGACUUAGAGAAAACAAGAAUGUCAUCCAGGUAAACCACCACAAAACGGUUCAGAAAAUCCCUCAACACAUCAUUGACCAGUGCCUGGAAGACAGCUGGAGCAUUAGUUAGUCCAAAUGGCAUGACCAGGUACUCGAAGUGUCCCAGAGGCGUGUUGAAGGCGGUCUUCCACUCGUCACCUUCCCUGACACGAACGAGGUGGUAAGCGUUCCUUAAAUCCA